UGAGGGCCGGCUCCGUCGUUCUCAAAGGGCAUUAGUAACAACCUCCAGACCUUCCAAAGGCGGAGGCAACGGAAGGGAGGGGGAGGAUGCAAAACCGAGUGCAAACUGCUCCCUACCAGCAGCUUCGCCUCGGUAUCAAGCCCUUUGCAGCUGAGCGAUCUCGGCACAGCCAGCGUCUCCUGGGUACCCUUCAAAGGCCCGUGCGCCGUCAGCACGGAGACUCAGUAGAAGGCGAGGCGGCAGCGAGGACCUUACCCUAGAGGAGCCCGGGAGCCGCAGCCCCUCCCCGCCAGCCCCGUCGGCCGGCUUCGCGCCGCGGAGCACGGGCGGCCCCGGAAGGCGGAUGUGGUUCCGGGUGGCGCGGCGCCAUGGAUUCGCUGUGGCGGCUGAAGCGGUUCGAUGCCUUCCCCAAGACCCUGGAAGAUUUUCGGGUCAAAACGUGCGGGGGCGCGCUGGUGACGGUUGUCAGCGGGCUCAUCAUGGUGCUGCUUUUCUUCUCGGAGCUGCAGUACUACCUCACCAAAGAGGUUCACCCGGAAUUGUACGUUGACAAAUCGAGGGGAGAUAAACUGAAGAUCAACCUGGACGUUAUUUUCCCACAUAUGCCUUGUGCUUAUUUGAGCAUUGAUGCCAUGGAUGUAGCAGGAGAGCAGCAGCUGGAUGUAGAGCACAAUCUGUUUAAACAACGUUUGGAUAAAGCUGGCAAUCGUGUGACUCCAGAGGCUGAGCGACAUGAGCUGGGGAAGGAAGAAGAAAAAGUGUUUGAUCCAGAUUCUUUGGAUGCCGAUCGCUGUGAGAGCUGUUACGGGGCAGAGUCAGAGGACAUUCGGUGUUGUAAUACUUGUGACGAUGUCAGAGAAGCAUACAGGCGGCGAGGCUGGGCCUUCAAGAACCCGGAUAGCAUAGAGCAGUGCAAGAGGGAAGGGUUUAGCCAGAAAAUGCAAGAGCAGAAGAACGAGGGCUGCCAAGUGUAUGGUUUCCUAGAGGUCAACAAGGUAGCUGGAAAUUUCCACUUUGCACCAGGAAAAAGUUUCCAACAGUCUCAUGUCCAUGGUAAAGUAUUUUCUUUUCCUGCUUAUUGUGACCUUUAGCUUCCAAGUGUAUCUGACCAUUUUCUUUGAAUGUCUUUGCACUGCUAUCCAUAAUAGCGAUGACACUGCUGCGGUGAGGAGGGCAUUGUUGAAGUUUUGUUACAGAGGUUUAGAACCAUCGUGAACAAAUAGAAGUGUUUUCUGGAGGUGCUGCCACAUGGGUGUGGAAGAACUUGGGAGGAGAAUGUUUAUGGGCAGUCUGACAGUCUCACUGGUUCCACAGAACUGCUGCUCUGAUGUACAACAACCUCAAGUAAAUGGUUGGAAGGGACCAUUAAAGGCCAUCUAGUCCAACCCCCCUGCAAUGAGCAGGGACAUCUGCAACUAGAUCAGGUUGCUCAGAGCCCCGUCCGGACUGACCCGAGUGUUCCCAGGGAUGAGGCAUCUGCAACUUCUCUGGCAACCUGUUCCAGUGCCUCACCGCCCUCACAGUAAAAAGUUUCUUCCUUAUAUCUGGUCUGAAUCUACCUUCUUUUAGGUGAAAACUAUUCCCCUUCAUCCUAUCGCAACAGGCCCUGUUAAAAAGUCUGUCCCCAUCUUUCUUAUAAGCCUCCUUUAAGUACUGAAAGGCCACAGUCAGGUCUCCCUGGCGCCUUCUCUUCUCCAGGCUGAACAAGCCCAACGUUCUCAGCCUUUGCUCACGGGAGAGGUGCUUCAGCCCUCAGAUCAUCUCCGUGGCUUCCUCUGGACCUGCUCCGACAGGUCCAUGUCUGUCUUGUCCUGAAGACCCCAGAGCUGGACACAGCACUCCAGCCAAAACAGGGCCAUCUUGCUGCCCUAAGACUCCCUCCUUUGGCUGCUUCUCAAACCAACCUUGGGGAUCUCCAUCCACAAUGUUCCUAUAAGAGAUAAGCAGACACCAGUGUUUUUAAACACUAACGUGCAAUUGCCACAAGGACCUCUGAUGGUCUCCUGAAAAUCUUUUCUUUUGCAAAGCGACUGUUUGGCAUUUCACUUGUUUUAACACAAAUUCUCCUUCCUGCCUUUAUGCAACACUCAUGUGCCUGAAGGAACCAGAAACACUGGAAAUGCGGAAAAACUAAAAGUGUAAAAAAAAAAAAAAAAAAAAAAAAAAAAUUAAAAAUUGUCCACUUGUAAGAAAAGUGUUAUUUUGUCCUUUUUGUUUUGUUUCUGCCUGCGUGAAUGGCGAAUCCAGGUGAGAUGAUUUCGCCUCCCCUGUUGUUGUUUGCGUGGCUGUUUUUCUCUGCUUGUAUGUAACACCUUUGUUCUCAUGUUCUGUUGACGUUGGUUCCGUGUUUAUACACAUGUACCCAACCCAGGUGAAAGUUGUUCUGCACGGUCAUUAAAGACAGCUUUGCAUUCCUUCUGGUUUCUCAUAAUCCCCAGGCCCGGAAGGAAAUGUAAUUUGGAAAUUGAGGGAGGGUGUUUUUCUGUCUUUAGAGAACUGAAGGGAAAGGUCCGGCUCUGCUGGGUUAAUGCAACUUUUAUCCAUCCAUCCAUCCAUCCAUCCAUCCAUCCAUCCCCUAACAUCUCAAACCUUCUCAGAAAAAUGCCUUACCCAAAUCUUAGGUCUCCCCAGACUUAUUUCUUAAAUAUCCAUAUACCGCGGUAGUCUUUAUGCCUGUC